CGGGGUGAGUAAUGCUUGGGAAUCUAGCUUAUGGAGGGGGAUAACUACGGGAAACUGUAGCUAAUACCGCGUAGAAUCGAGAGAUGAAAGUGUGGGACCUUCGGGCCACAUGCCAUAGGAUGAGCCCAAGUGGGAUUAGGUAGUUGGUGGGGUAAAGGCUCACCAAGCCGACGAUCUCUAGCUGGUCUGAGAGGAUGACCAGCCACACUGGGACUGAGACACGGCCCAG
rnacentral:rRNA from 1 species